rnacentral:rRNA from 1 species
CGCGUAGGCGGCUUUAUAAGUCUGGAGUGAAAGUCCUCUUUUCAAGGGAGGAAUUGCUUUGGAAACUAUAGAGCUUGAGUGCAGGAGAGGUUAUCGGAAUUCCCGGUGUAGCGGUGAAAUGCGUAGAUAUCGGGAGGAACAUCGGUGGCGAAGGCGAGUAACUGGACUGCAACUGACGCUGAGGCGCGAAAGUGUGGGGAGCAAACA